GUGCAAUGAUGAGUUUGCCAUGCUAAUACUGAGUGAUGCCUUUAGGCGAUCACAAUGCGUUCAGCUUGAAUGUUUAUCUGAGCACA